rnacentral:lncRNA from 1 species
UUGGUAGUUAGGAUAGUGGGGUUAUGCUGUCGAAAUUUUGUUAGAUUUCAAGUAAUUUAUUAUAUUUUAUUUGUUUUUUUCAAUUAGAAUUUGCAAGAAUGAGUGAUAAUCGUAUGUGGAUGUACGCGAGAUACAAUGAUUGUACUGCAUUUGAAACGGGGCUUGAGAGUUUCCUUGAGUGGGCGAGAAAUCAAACGGCGUACACAGAUGGAGAAGGUAACAUUAGGUGCCCGUGUAAG